rnacentral:sRNA from 1 species
AAGGGCCGCCCUCCUUUGGCGUAUCCUCCCUAAACUUGGGCCGGGCUCCGAAAGCGGCUCGGCCCUUUUUGCUAGGGGCG